GGCACCUCGGGGGAUUUAGGAUUUCUUCCUAACGAGCUCUCAGUCAGUCACCUGGGCUGUGCGUGAGUUCAUGUCUUCAGGAGCUGAGGACUACGAGGCAUCACAAAAGUGGCCACGAGAGGCAGGCGUCAACCAGCCUGUCCAGGCCACACAGCGCACAGAUACUGGGUCAGAUAUUACCCUGGUUGUUUCUUCAAGGUGUUUUUGGAAGAGACUGACAUUUCAGUAGGCAGAGUAAAGCAGAUUGCCUUCCCUAAUGUGGACCGCUGGCCUGUGCACCGGGCAAGGCCCUGCCCCCCACCACCCCCACCUGCGGGGAGCCUCAUCUGUGUGCUCCACGUUUGGGGCUGCCUGAAAGAUUCCCUGGGAGAAUCCCUCUCUGCUUGGAACCACUGACUUGGAGAGUGGUCUCAGUUACCUCUGGGCACACCAAGGCCGGGGAGCGAGCCCGUCUCACGCCGUGUGACCACCCCUUCCUAACGGUGGAAACCGGCCCUCUCCACCCAGGUCACCCGCCUCCACCUGGAGGGGUCAGGUCCUCAGGGAUCAGGUGUCUGUGAAAACAAUCCCGAGAGUCAUCCGGAAGCUCCAUUUCCAGCCAGGGUUAGGGUUCCAGAGGUCGCCCUGAGCGUGUUACGCACACGGCCUAUCAAGUACACUCCUUUCCUCGCGGCACCCCCAGGAGGUCGGGGUGUUUGCUGGGUUCCACCCGUGCCCUCACUCAUUUUCACUGUGGUCCGAUCAGCUCAGGCGGAGCCCAGCAAACACCCCGACCCCCUGGAGGUGCCACGAGGAAAGGAGUGUCCUCAGAGAGCUUCCGGGGAAGCCAGCCCUAUGAAGCCCUCCACGUUCACCAGGAGUUCAUCGCAGCUGCGGCCAGGCUGGGAAGGAGAGGUGGCCACAGGCAGGCAGCGUGUCUGUUCCGGAUGCAAAGCGCAGCCCCAGCCCCGCCCGCUGGAGCCCUCUCUGGCGCUGGGUGGACAAAGCUGCAGUGCGCCGGCCAGGGAAGGCCGAGGAGCCGCCCAGGCGAGGCCCGAGCUGCCUGGUGGCAUCUGUGUGGACCCCAGGCCAUGUCACUGCCUCAGCACACUCGACCUCCAACUCACAUUCCUCACAGGUGGCCCGGGAAAGGGGACCACCCACUCGGCAGGAGCUCCCUGAGCCAGCUCAGUGGAUGGAGCAAACUGACUUGGAAAUCAAAGUGAUGCCCAGACGGAGCAAGAGACAGCCCCGGACCAGCCCCCGGGCCACACCCGCGCACCAGCCAGGACCAGGCCCCGCGGAGGCUUGCUGGGAAGCUGGCGCUGUGUUGUUUCCCCCGCCAGCUGCUCGCUUCCUCCCGGGCUCACUGGAGUGCAAACUGCUUUCACUUGUUUGAAAUGGAAAUUUUUUCGUCU
rnacentral:lncRNA from 1 species